AGAAAGAGGAGGAAUGGAAGAGUGAUAAGGGAAAGAAAAAGGAAAAAGAAAAAGAAAGCCCACCUGUCUUCCCCUGUUCGCCUCCUUCUUGCUCUCCUCCAUCCCUUAACUCUCCUUCUUACUCCCCUC
rnacentral:ribozyme from 1 species